GACGAACGCUGGCGGCGUGCUUAACACAUGCAAGUCGAACGAUGAAGAAAAGAAUUGAAGCUUCGGCAGAAAUUCAUUUCGGAUUUGUGGCAGACGGGUGAGUAACGCGUGAGCAACCUACCUCUUACAAAGGGAUAGCCUCGGGAAACCGGGAUUAAUACCAUAUAACAUUGCGACGAAGCAUUUCGAUGCAAUCAAAGCUACGGCGGUAAGAGAUGGGCUCGCGUCCCAUUAACCAGAUGGUGAGGUAACGGCUCACCAUAGUAACGAUGGGUAACCGGCCUGAGAGGGUGAACGGUCACACUGGAACUGAGACACGGUCCAGACUCCUACGGGAGGCAGCAGUGGGGAAUAUUGCACAAUGGAGGGAACUCUGAUGCAGCGACGCCGCGUGAGUGAUGAAGGAAUUCGUUUCGUAAAACUCUGUUCUAUGGGAAGAAAAGGACUGUACCAUAGGAGAAAGCUCCGGCUAAAUACGUG
rnacentral:rRNA from 1 species